UGUCUGAUGAUAAAAUGUUUCCAGGAGGUUCUGUCUGGUGCUAAAACGUUUCCAAGAGGUUCUGUCUGAUGCUAAAACGUUUCCAGAAGGUUCUGUCUGAUUCUAAAACGUUUCCUAGAGGUUCUGUCUGAUGCUAAAACGUUUCCAAGGAGUUCUGUCUGAUGCUUAAGUGUUUACAAGAGGUUCUGUCUGAUUCUAAAACGUUUCCUAGAGAUUAUGUCAUGCUAAAACGUUUCCAGGAGGUUCUGUCUGAUGCUAAAACGUUUCCAAGAGGUUCUGUCUGAUGUUAAAACGUUUCCAGAAGGUUCUGUCUGAUGCUAAAACGUUUCCAAGAGGUUCUGUCUGAUGCUGAAACGUUUCCUUGAGGUUCUCUCUGAUGCUAAAACGUUCCCUAGAGGUUCUGUCUGAUGCUAAAACGUUUCCAAGAGGUUCUGUCUGAUGCUAAAACGUUUCCUAGAGGUUCUGUCUGAUGCUAAAACGUUUUCAAGAGGUUCUGUCUGAUGAUAAAACGUUUCCUAGAUAUUAUGUCUGAUGCUAAAACGUUUCCAGGAGGUUCUGUCUGAUGCUUAAAUGUUUCCAAGAGGUUAUGUCUGAUGUUAAGACGUUUCCUAGAGGUUCUGUCUGAUGCUAAAACGUUUCCAAGAGGUUCUGUCUGAUGCUAAAACGUUUCCUGGAGAUUCUGUCUGAUGCUAAAACGUUUCCAAGGGGUUCUGUCUGAUGCUAAAACGUUUCCUAGAGGUUCUGUCUGAUGCUAAAACGUUUCCUAGAGGUUCUGUCUGAUGCUAAAACGUUUCCUAGAGGUUCUGUCUGAUGCUAAAACGUUUCCUAGAGGUUCUGUCUGAUGCUAAAACGUUUCCAAGAGGUUCUGUCUGAUGCUAAAACGUUUCCUAGAGGUUCUGUCUGAUGCUAAAACGUUUCCAGGAGGUUCUGUCUGAUGCUAAAACGUUUCCAAGAGGUUCUGUCUGAUGCUAAAACGUUUCCAAGGGGUUCUGUGACUUCUGUCUGAUGCUGAAACGUUUCCUUGAGGUUCUGUCGGAUGCUAAAACGUUUCCAAGAAGUUCUGUCUGAUGCUAAAACGUUUCCUAGAGGUUCUGUCUGAUGCUAAAACGUUUCCAAGAAGUUCUGUCUGAUGCUAAAACGUUUCCUAGAGGUUCUGUCUGAUGCUAAAACGUUUCCUAGUGGUUCUGUCGGAUGCUAAAACGUUUCCAAGAAG